rnacentral:hammerhead_ribozyme from 1 species
AUCCAGUUGACGAGUCCCAAAUAGGACGAAACACGAGUCAAACUGGAU